rnacentral:ncRNA from 1 species
GGAAAUGCGAUGAAGGUGCACAGUACAAAAAGAGUCCGCUUAGCAUAGAGAGAAGAAUCACAGGCUGCAAGUUCUUCCAAAGCGCUUUUUGGAAUUUUCCCACCGGAGCUGUUUUUUUGAAAUCGAAGGAGAGUAGGAAGAACCGUGAGACUGCGUUAAGCAUAAAGAGAGCCUGAAAGAAAUUCAGGAAUCAGGGUGGUACCGCGAACAUUCGUCCCUGUC